AUUCCAGCUCCAAUAGCGUAUAUUAAAGUUGUUGCGGUUAAAAAGCUCGUAGUUGGAUUUCUGCCGAGGACGACCGGUCCGCCCUCUGGGUGCGUAUCUGGCUCGGCCUGGGCAUCUUCUUGGAGAACGUAUCUGCACUUGACUGUGUGGUGCGGUAUCCAGGACUUUUACUUUGAGGAAAUUAGAGUGUUUCAAGCAGGCACACGCCUUGAAUACAUUAGCAUGGAAUAAUAAGAUAGGACCUCGGUUCUAUUUUGUUGGUUUCUAGAGCUGAGGUAAUGAUUAAUAGGGACAGUCGGGGGCAUUUGUAUUCAAACGACAGAGGUGAAAUUCUUGGACCGUUUGAAGACAAACUACUGCGAAAGCAUUUGCCAAGAAUGUUUUCAUCA
rnacentral:rRNA from 1 species